rnacentral:lncRNA from 1 species
AUGGUUUUGGAUUGGGUGGGUCAGAGAAGGCAUCCCUUGUCUGCUGACCCAAGGCUCCUGGAGCCUGGUUGGGGGAUCCUGCUCGGGCCGGCCGGCGCUUGGCGAGGGAUCCGUGGAUUGGGACUGAGAGGAAGGGCCUUUGCCAUACGCACCACGGAAGGAGAAGGGCCUCUAUUCCAGAAGAAGAACUCAGACCAUCAGCAAGAGAAAUUACACAGGUGGCAGCAUCUUCCAAUUCGUGGGUCAGUGCCGGUGGUUCCUCUUCCCUUCCAUAGAGGAGUAUUCUGCUUGGUCCAUCUUAGAAUGCGAUUAAAUUGGGGGAAUCCUAGAAACAAAAUAUGCAGAAUUUGAGGAAUGUGAGUAUUAUAUUUUUGAUUUUGGCAUGGAUAAAAAGGUGAGUUCACAUUGUAAAAAUCCACCACGCUAUGCUUAUGACCUUUGUACUUUUCAUAUGUAAGUUAUACUUCUAUAAGUUCAAAAUGACACACACUUUAAAUGUUGUAUUUUAAUCUAAAUUAUAGUUUGCACUAGUUUUCCCACAUUAUGAUGAUUAGACUCUGUGUCAAAAUUUUUUAAAUUUUGAAAUACAUUAGUACAGACAAAAUGCUCAGAGCCUGAUGUGUAGGAAGCACUUAAUAAAUGUCAGCACUGUUUCGUGCGCAUACUCACGAUGCCUCAUUUGCAAUUUCCAGUCCUGCAUUAUCUGCAGUGGAGGAAGAACUUGGAGACACUUUCCUGGCAAUCUGAUGGCAGAAUCCUUCUAGAAUUUUGUGAGUUUUCCCAACCUUUUACAGAUAACUUGCUCAUACCUAUUUUAACAGCAGUUCUAAAAGCAACUUACCCUAAUGGGUCUUUGCAAAGCACCCACCUUGGUUCUCACAGAACUGACUUUCCUUGAUGCUUCUAUGUCAUUAGUCGACAUAUCAGUUAAUUAAAGUAUAUAAAUCAAUAAUGAGAUC